rnacentral:rRNA from 1 species
CAGGUCUGUGAUGCCCUUAGAUGUUCUGGGCCGCACACGCGCUACACUGAAUGGAUCAGCUAGUUUUUCCCUCUCCGAGAGGAGCGGGUAAACUGUUGAACCCCAUUCGUGGUAGGGAUCGGAGCUUGCAAUUGUUCUCCGUGAACCAGGAAUUCCCAGUAGGCGCAAGUCAUAAGCUUGCGUCGAUUACGUCCCUGCCCUUUGUACACACCGCCC